rnacentral:rRNA from 1 species
UACGGAGGGGGCAAGCGUUGUUCGGAUUUACUGGGCGUAAAGGGCGCGUAGGCGGUCAGCACAAGUCAGUUGUGAAAUCUCCGGGCUUAACUCGGAAAGGUCAACUGAUACUGUGCGACUAGAGUGCGGAAGGGGCAACUGGAAUUCUCGGUGUAGCGGUGAAAUGCGUAGAUAUCGAGAGGAACACCUGCGGCGAAGGCGGCCCCCUGGGCCGGCCCUGACACUGAGACGCGAAGGCGUGGGGAGCGAACGGG